rnacentral:rRNA from 1 species
GGGGAAUAUUGCGCAAUGGGCGAAAGCCUGACGCAGCGACGCCGCGUGUGGGAUGACGGCCUUCGGGUUGUAAACCACUGUCGCGAGGGACGAAGCUCUGACGGUACCUCCAAAGGAAGCACCGGCUCACACUGUGCCCGCAGCCGCGGUAAUACAGAGGGUGCGAGCGUUGUCCGGAAUCACUGGGCGUAAAGGGCGCGUAGGUGGCCUGAUAAGUAGGGGGUGAAAUCUCGAGGCUCAACUUCGAGGCUGCCUCCUAAACUGUCAGGCUUGAGCAGAGUAGAGGCAGGUGGAAUUCCCGGUGUAGCGGUGGAAUGCGUAGAGAUCGGGAAGAACAUCGGUGGCGAAGGCGGCCUGCUGGGCUCUUGCUGACACUGAUGCGCGACAGCGUGGGGAGCAAAC